GCCGAAAUUGCUCAGUUGAGAGAGCGUUAGACUGAAGAUCUAAAGGUUCCAGGUUCGAUCCCUGGUUUCGGCA
rnacentral:tRNA from 1 species